rnacentral:rRNA from 1 species
AAUAGAUACCCCGGUAGUCCACGCCGUAAACGAUGAAUACUAGGUGUAGGAGGUAUCGACUCCUUCUGUGCCGCAGUUAACACAAUAAGUAUUCCGCCUGGGGAGUACGAUCGCAAGAUUAAAACUCAAAGGAAUUGACGGGGGGCCCGCACAAGCAGCGGAGCAUUGUGGUUUAAUUCGAAGCAACGACGAACGUAACCUUACCUAGUACUUGACAUCCCCUGAAUAACCCAGAGAUGGGCGAAGUCCGUUCGGGACGACGGGAGACGAGGUAGGUGCAGUGGUUGUCGUCAGCGUCGUGUCGUGAGAUGUUGGGUUAGUCCGCAACGAGCGCAACCCUUACUUAGUUAGUUGCUACCUAUUAAGUUAGUAGCACUACUAGACGAAGACUCGCCCGGGGUUAACCGGGGAGGAAGGGUAGGGGUAGUAGGACGGU